GACUUUUCUCAUCUUGGUGUACCUAAUACCACUCUAGGACCCAUGAGGCAAACAUAGAGUUCAUACCUUGUGAGUGUCAUUUAUCUGAAAAGGCAGUAAUAGAUCCUUGAGUCUUCGAAUCAGAAUACAAGCUAAAUACUAAAUGUGCUAAAGCAGUGUAAGACUGGAUGUUGCUGGGUACUGAGGAAGGCCGGAAGGACUAGGAUGGAGCGUCAAGGAAGGCCUCGGGGGCAAGAGGAAGAAGACGUUGACUUAGGUGUGCUCGGUGCAGGGGCUGAUGGCAGAGCUUUAUGUGGAAGGAUCCUGUGAGCAAACAGCCCCAGGAGCCCGCGGAGGGGGUAGAAGAGAACGUGAGCUAUUGCCAGAGCCAGCUUCAGUCCUCAGGUUGGGCACAUCAGUAGCUGAGAGACUCCUCUGACCAUGGCCAGCCUCAGGAAGUGAGUGUCAACAGCCUUGCAGAUGGGAACUCAACUCCUGGGUACCCAUGCCUGAAAAGACGUAAGUCCUGCUCCCACCGGCACCAGACCCCCUGCCCUCCCUCUACCCCAAUACUAGAACUCCAGACCUCACCCCUCCUCCCCAGAGACAUAUCAGCAGGAAGUUAAGUCAGCUGGAACACUUUGUUCCCUUGACAUUUCUGUUUUAAUUCUGCAGCUGUGUUUAAGGCUUCAUGAAUUAUCUGUCCAGCACGGUCUGUUUGUCUGCCUAGUGCCUCUUCUCCCACUUCCCUGCACCAGGUCAUGAUUACCCUAAGGCUGGUAGAGCAGAACUGGAACUAGGGUUGGUAAGAAGGAAGUGGGAUGGUAAGAAAGGGCAUUAGGGACUGUAAUAUUAGCUGUUGAUGAGCUAAGGAUGAUGAUCUGAUUGCUUGCUCAAGGAGGAGGAAUUCCUAAAUCAUUAACAGUGUGCGUUGCCGAUAGCUCUCUUUCCUCACCCUCUCAUGGUAUUUAUCUCUACAUCACAUCAUAGUGAUGAAUAGGUGUGUCUUUUCUCCUCAGUAUUCUAUAGUGCCUACUUACAUGCCUUAUUCAUGCUUAUUCAUGUUCAGGAAGCAGUUGGUAAUUGAAGGAAUGAGCCUUCUCGCCUUCCUUUUAUCUCAAGUCAGCUUAUCACUUAAAAACAAAAACAAAAACAAGCCAUAGCUUCCAAAUUCAACUUGGUCCUGCUCAGGGUGGUAUUUCUUAAUUUCUUAUAGCUGCAAUUCACAGGUCUGUAUCCUUGCUUGCCAAUGUCUGUUUUGGUAUUCAUGGUAGUUGGCUCUGAGACAUAUCAGAGCACUAUAUUGUUCUUUCCUGGUUGCUUUUUCUUCUGCUUCUCAUCAAAGUCUAGAGAGAAACUCAGUUUCUAAAGCCAUUAAGAACCUAGUAGGAAAAUGGUGAUUAGUCUCUCCAAGUUCUUCUUCCUCAGCAGACCCACGAAGAGUGUUCUCCAUUCACUGGUCAAUCAGGCUCACAUGUGUGAAACGUCAAGGUUGGCCUUAAAGGACCACCCGGGCAAAUGACUUAUCGUUAGUUACGUGAGCUGGGUAUGUUUUGUCAACCACCCCGCUUGAAACCUAAGCAUGAGAGAACGUAGCUCACAAGACAGGUAUGGCCCCAUAUGUCUCCAUAAGCCCACAUCUAGAAAAUACGUAUGCAGAUUUUUCUGUUGCCAGUUGGUCAUCCUGAGCUAUCAUUUCUAAUGUGUGACUAGUUUCAACCAAAUUUAAUAUUUUAAAACCAGUCUCAAAGCCCUAUAUUUUAAAAAGUAAAACUAUAAGUGGGCCUGGCAUGGUGGCUCACGCCUGUAAUCCCAGCACUUUGGGAGGUUGAGGAGGGCAGAUCACAAGAUCAGGAGUUCAAGACCAGCCUGAUUAAUAUUGUGAAACCCCAUCUCUACUAAAAAUACAAAAAUAAGCCGGGCGUGGUGGCACGCACCUGUAGUCCCAGUUGCUCGGGAGGCUGAGGCAGGAGAAUCACUCGAACCCGGGAGGCAGAGGUUGCAAUGAGCCGAUAUCAUGCCAUUGCACUCCAGCCUGGGCAACAGAGUGAGAUUCCAUCUCAAAAAACAAAAACAAAACAAAACAAAACAAAACAAAACUGUAUAAAGCCCACAAUUAACAUUAUACUCAACAGUGAAAAACUGAAAGCUUUCUUUUUUUUUUUUUUCUUUCUUUUUU
rnacentral:lncRNA from 1 species